rnacentral:SRP_RNA from 1 species
GCUGGGCAUGGUGGCUCAUGCCUGUAAUCCCAGUUACUCAAGAGGCUGAGGCAGGAGAAUCACUUGAACCCGGGAGGCAGAGGUUGCAGUGAGCCUAGAUUGCGUCACUGAGCUGAGAUCACAUCAUUCAGCUGAGAUCACGCCAGUCAAAAUCACACCACAGCACUCUGCCUGGGUGACAGAGUGAGACUCUGUCUCAC